CCCCUAGUAACUGCGAGUGAAGCGGGAAAAGCUCAAAUUUAAAAUCUGGCGGUCUUUGGCCGUCCGAGUUGUAAUCUAGAGAAGUGYUAUCCGCGCUGGACCGUGUACAAGUCUCCUGGAAUGGAGCGUCAUAGAGGGUGAGAAUCCCGUCUUUGACACGGACUGCCAGGGCUUUGUGAUGBGCUCUCAAAGAGUCGAGUUGUUUGGGAAUGCAGCUCAAAAUGGGUGGUAAAUUCCAUCUAAAGCUAAAUAUUGGCGAGAGACCGAUAGCGAACAAGUACCGUGAGGGAAAGAUGAAAAGAACUUUGGAAAGAGAGUUAAACAGUACGUGAAAUUGCUGAAAGGGAAACGCUUGAAGUCAGUCGCGUUGUCCAGGGAUCAUCCUUGCUUUUGCUUGGUGCACUUUCUGGUUGACGGGUCAGCAUCAAUUUUGACCAUUGGAAAAAGAUUAGGGGAAUGUGGCAUCUUCGGAUGUGUUAUAGCCCUUAGUUGCAUACAAUGGUUGGGAUUGAGGAACUCAGCACGCCGCAAGGCCGGGUUUUUAACCACGUACGUGCUUAGGAUGCUGGCAUAAUGGCUUUAAUCGACCCGUCUUGAAACACGGACCAAGGAGUCUAACAUGCCUGCGAGUGUUUGGGUGGAAAACCCGAGCGCGUAAUGAAAGUGAAAGUUGAGAUCCCUGUCGUGGGGAGCAUCGACGCCCGGACCAGACCUUUUGUGACGGUUCCGCGGUAGAGCAUGUAUGUUGGGACCCGAAAGAUGGUGAACUAUGCCUGAAUAGGGUGAAGCCAGAGGAAACUCUGGUGGAGGCUCGUAGCGAUUCUGACGUGCA
rnacentral:rRNA from 1 species